AAAAAGGGCUUCUGUCGUGAGUGGCACACGUGGGGCAGCUCAAUUGCUCUUCGUGCGGAAUCGACAUCAAGAGAUUUCGGAAGCAUAAUUUUUUGGUACUCGGGCAGCUGGUGAUCGUUGGUCUCGGCGCCCCU
rnacentral:snRNA from 9 species